CGCCGCGCCGCCUCGGGCUCGCUUGGUGCAGAUCGGGACCUGCCGCCGUGCUCGGACGGGACAGAUCCCGCCUUGCACCAAGUGAAUCCGAGCCGGAGCAGCCG
rnacentral:pre_miRNA from 1 species